CUUUUACUUUUAUUAUAAAUUUAUAUACCGCUAUUUAAAGAACUAAUCUACCAAUUCUAUUCAAAAUAUAUACAUGCGAACUAAAAAAAUAAGUCAAGGUGUAAUUUAUAUUCAAGUAUAUUAUGGGUUACAAUAAAAAUUAUUUAUGGAUAAAUUUUUAAAAACAAAUUUUUAAAUAGGAUUUAUAAGUAUUACUCAAUAAUA
rnacentral:rRNA from 1 species